UAUAUUAAAUUCACAGGUCGCCAAGAUAUCCUACACACUGAAUCCCUUGGGUUUGAAAUAAAAUAAUGACAGCAAACCCGGCAAUUUAUAUAAGUAUUACUAAUGGUCCCUGUUUCAUCCUUAGUGCAGUGGAAUGUCGAAUUAAAUUUUUAUAAGCACGAGUUAUUUCCUGGGACUGCUGUGUAUACACACAUGCUUAUACCAGCAUGCUUAACAUUAUAUAAGCAUGUUUUACAAGUCGUACAUAUUAUUAUCAUGGAGCAUAUAAAAAUAUAGAAUAAUAUCAUUAUUUUAUGAAAAUUAGAUAUGUUUAGAUCACGGAGACAAGUAUUUAUAGACAGGAAUUGAUGCUAUCUCCAAUUAUUCUAUUAAUUUGUUUUUAUACAUAAAAUUUAAGUUUAAUAAUUAUACUCUAUAUUACAAUAAAAAUAAAUCUAUUAU